GCCUCAAUCCCAUUGAACACUUUUGGGAUCAGCUUGGGUGUGCUGUCUGUGCCAGAGUUACCAACACAACCAUGUUGGCUGACUUGCAACAAAUGCUGGUUAAAUAAUGGGAUGCCAUCCCACAGCAGUGAGUGACCAGGCUGGUGACCACCAUAAGGAGGAGGUGCCAGGGUGUGUAUGGUUCUUCCACACACUACUGAGGCUCCUGUUUAUAAAAUAAAUAAAUUGUUAAAUUGACAAUAUGUCUUGUUUCUUCAAACUUCAAUCAUCCAAUCCACCAAACACCAAAUGAGUCAAUGGCAGAAUAAGCUAUUUGGCAUUGGCAGAGAAGAUUUGGCCCAUUUUUCAUGGGCGCAACCCACGUACUCAAUUCUGCUACUCAUCUCACAAAUGCCUGUUCCUUACAAGUGGGGCAGCAUUUGAAAGGGAACUAAACAGGCUUUCCAACGGUAUAAGAUUUAUUGCCAAAAAUCAUUGUUACCACAGAGAAAUAAUCUAGCAAACACAAAUUUCCUAACUUUUUGAGCAAAAUGU